UGCAUAUUGGCAUCUCAAACUCAAAGUUC
rnacentral:piRNA from 1 species